rnacentral:lncRNA from 1 species
CUCUCUUCUCCUCUUCGCGCUUCACAUCGAGAAAAGCACAACCCCAAGCCCAGGAGCCAGGAUGCUCACAAUCUCACUCACACAAACCCACAUUCUGCCGGCGCCACCGCUGUCAAUUCCAUUCAGAUGCACCGACAUUGUAGCUUCUAGCCGGUCUUGAGCUGUUUGAUUCUAAUCCAGUCACUGCCUCCUUCUUCUUUUGCCGUCGUCAGCCGCACAAGGUGAGGAUGAUAAGGUUAUGUUUACGAUUCCGAAGAUGAAUGGGACAUGGGGAGAUAUUUUUAAUUAAAUGUACGUUUUUGGGAGUAAAUAUGUUUUGAUUGUAUGUUUCUUCUCCGCCUGGCUGAAGAGAAGCGUUUUAGAUUAUGUUUAUCUGCUUAACGUCAAUUUGGUCUUAACUCUCGAAAAGUGCUUCAAAUUCUCGCAUAUAUUAAAUUGAUUUUCUUUUUUAUUCUGCAUUGAUCAAGGCUGGGAUUUGAGAUUAGUUGGUUACCGACGAAUUUUUGGAAAAUUG